rnacentral:lncRNA from 1 species
ACUAGGCUUAAAAUAAUCGUCUCGCAAGUUACAGACAAACUAUGUAAUUAAUUAUUUUUUUAUCUAUAUUUAGUGCAUACAUGUGUCGUAAGAUUCACGGGAAAUCUUGAAAAUUUCUGCAAAAUUUUUGGGAAGUAAACAAGGCCUAGGUGACUAGGUGACUGGUUUCUUGGUCGAGGCUGUCUUUUGUUGUAAGCAUAAGGCACGAAUGCUUUUUCUAUACUCUUGUGUGUUGUAAGGGAACUUGCCUCUUUUUCCUUCUUGUUAAUACAAAGCUGAACAGCUCUCCUGCCUGUUUGAGAAAAAAAAGGCUAAUGAAAAUCUUGGUUAUAAAGUUGAGUUGGGCACUUCACUGCCCAAGACCGGUCUAGAAACACAACCAUUAUUUCUUUUUCGGUUGAACAAGGAUUAAGUAGUAUCUUUUUGUGUGAGGAAAUUUUUUUCGCAACCAUAUGUAUGAAGAAAUUUGAACUCUGGAGACUGAAUUAUUGUCAUCCCAGCACCUGAUAAAUAGUUCUUUCCUAACAUAAAGCUUCAAAAAGAUCAGACAGAUAAGCAGAAUGGGCUUGUUCCAUGAGAAGAUGUUUUAUACCUUGGCACCUUGCCAUUAUGCAGGGACACUGGAGAUGACGAUGUUGCCAUACAGAUACUGUACUGCGGGAUAUGCCACUCUGAUCUGCACACCAUCAAG